rnacentral:rRNA from 1 species
UGGGGAAUCUUGGACAAUGGGCGCAAGCCUGAUCCAGCCAUGCCGCGUGAGUGAAGAAGGCCUUCGGGUUGUAAAGCUCUUUUUGUCAGGGACGAUAAUGACGGUACCUGAAGAAUAAGCCCCGGCAAACUUCGUGCCAGCAGCCGCGGUAAUACGAAGGGGGCUAGCGUUGUUCGGAAUUACUGGGCGUAAAGCGCACGUAGGCUGAUUGUUAAGUCAGGGGUGAAAUCCCAGAGCUCAACUCUGGAACUGCCCUUGAUACUGGCAAUCUCGAGUCCGGAAGAGGUUAGUGGAAUUCCCAGUGUAGAGGUGAAAUUCGUAGAUAUUGGGAAGAACACCAGUGGCGAAGGCGGCUAACUGGUCCGGUACUGACGCUGAGGUGCGAAAGCGUGGGGAGCAAACAGGAUUAGAUACCCAUGUAGUCCCUGAGCGGGCUGGCAAGGCGCAU